AUUUAGAAUGGGCGAAGCCUGACCGCAAUGCCGCGUGCAGGAAGAAGGCCUUCGGGUUGUAAACUGCUUUUGUACGGAACGAAACGGCCUUUUCUAAUAAAGAGGGCUAAUGACGGUACCGUAAGAAUAAGCACCGGCUAACUACGUGCCAGCAGCCGCGGUAAUACGUAGGGUGCGAGCGUUAAUCGGAAUUACUGGGCGUAAAGCGUGCGCAGGCGGUUAUGUAAGACAGUUGUGAAAUCCCCGGGCUCAACCUGGGAAUUGCAUCUGUGACUGCAUAGCUAGAGUACGGUAGAGGGGGAUGGAAUUCCGCGUGUAGCAGUGAAAUGCGUAGAUAUGCGGAGGAACACCGAUGGCGAAGGCAAUCCCCUGGACCUGUACUGACGCUCAUGCACGAAAG
rnacentral:rRNA from 1 species